GGGGGAUUUAGGGACGGAAGAAAUGAUGCAGGUGGAAAAUGAUGCACAGGAGAGGAAACAAGUGGCUGUCCAAAGGAUCAACAUAAGGAUUAGAAGACAGCUUAAGCCCUCCCCAGUAGGAAGAGGACUCCUUUAGGUGAAGUGGAUGGAAAUGUUAGGAGAAUGGAGGUUAGAGGCAAGAGAAAAAGUUACCACGAAGAUACUGAGAUGGAAGAAGCUGGGGAUGAGUUGUUGAACUUAAAAAGGAAUAAACUUGAUUAAUCUUUGGAAAUAAGGUUAGAAAUUGCUGAUGGUGGGAAGGGGACCAGCGUAAGUAGGUCCUCCCACAAGCAAUAAGAGUGCUGGUGUGGAAUUGUCAAGGUGUAGGAGCCAUUUGACAAUUC
rnacentral:lncRNA from 1 species